AUCCAAAUGAUGAAUCCAAAAUAGGACGAAACGCGCAUCAUGUAU
rnacentral:hammerhead_ribozyme from 1 species